rnacentral:rRNA from 1 species
GGGUUGUGAGGUUAAGCGACUAAGCGUACACGGUGGAUGCCCUGGCAGUCAGAGGCGAUGAAGGGCGUGCUAAUCUGCGAUAAGCGCCGGUAAGGUGAUAUGAACCGUUAUAACCGGCGAUACCCGAAUGGGGAAACCCAGUGUGAUUCGUCACACUAUCAUUAACUGAAUCCAUAGGUUAAUGAGGCGAACCGGGGGAACUGAAACAUCUAAGUACCCCGAGGAAAAGAAAUCAACCGAGAUUCCCCCAGUAGCGGCGAGCGAACGGGGAGGAGCCCAGAGCCUGAAUCAGCAUGUGUGUUAGUGGAAGCGUCUGGAAAGGCGCGCGAUACAGGGUGACAGCCCCGUACACAAAAGCGCAUGUGCUGUGAGCUCGAUGAGUAGGGCGGGACACGUGGUAUCCUGUCUGAAUAUGGGGGGACCAUCCUCCAAGGCUAAAUACUCCUGACUGACCGAUAGUGAACCAGUACCGUGAGGGAAAGGCGAAAAGAACCCCGGCGAGGGGAGUGAAAAAGAACCUGAAACCGUGUACGUACAAGCAGUGGGAGCCCCACCACUAAGCCAGUGGUGAACUCCACAUCCGCAUCCUUUGCUGAGGAUACGGUUAACGGAGCGAAAGCGACGUUCAACCGCAAAACAAGCAGAGGGGGCUUAGUGGUGGGGUGACUGCGUACCUUUUGUAUAAUGGGUCAGCGACUUAUAUUCUGUAGCAAGGUUAACCGAAUAGGGGAGCCGGAGGGAAACCGAGUCUUAAUUGGGCGUUAAGUUGCAGGGUAUAGACCCGAAACCCGGUGAUCUAGCCAUGGGCAGGUUGAAGGUUGGGUAACACUAACUGGAGGACCGAACCGACUAAUGUUGAAAAAUUAGCGGAUGACCUGUGGCUGGGGGUGAAAGGCCAAUCAAACCGGGAGAUAGCUGGUUCUCCCCGAAAGCUAUUUAGGUAGCGCCUCGUGAAUUCAUCUCCGGGGGUAGAGCACUGUUUCGGCUAGGGGGCCAUCCCGGCUUACCAACCCGAUGCAAACUGCGAAUACCGGAGAAUGUUAUCACGGGAGACACACGGCGGGUGCUAACGUCCGUCGUGAAGAGGGAAACAACCCAGACCGCCAGCUAAGGUCCCAAAGUCAUGGUUAAGUGGGAAACGAUGUGGGAAGGCCCAGACAGCCAGGAUGUUGGCUUAGAAGCAGCCAUCAUUUAAAGAAAGCGUAAUAGCUCACUGGUCGAGUCGGCCUGCGCGGAAGAUGUAACGGGGCUAAACCAUGCACCGAAGCUGCGGCAGCGAACGUAUCACCCAAGACAACUUUACGGAGUUGACGAUUGACGGAGCGAAGCGACGUCAAAGCGUUCAUUAAAGUCGAGUUGGCUUAGGGAUACGUUCGUUGGGUAGGGGAGCGUUCUGUAAGCCUGUGAAGGUGUGUCGUGAGGCAUGCUGGAGGUAUCAGAAGUGCGAAUGCUGACAUAAGUAACGAUAAAGCGGGUGAAAAGCCCGCUCGCCGGAAGACCAAGGGUUCCUGUCCAACGUUAAUCGGGGCAGGGUGAGUCGACCCCUAAGGCGAGGCCGAAAGGCGUAGUCGAUGGGAAACGGGUUAAUAUUCCCGUACUUGGUGUUACUGCGAAGGGGGGACGGAGAAGGCUAUGUUGGCCGGGCGACGGUUGUCCCGGUUUAAGCGUGUAGGUGUGUGUUCCAGGUAAAUCCGGUUCACUUUAACACUGAGGCGUGACGACGAGGCACUACGGUGCUGAAGCAACAAAUGCCCUGCUUCCAGGAAAAGCCUCUAAGCAUCAGGUAACACGAAAUCGUACCCCAAACCGACACAGGUGGUCAGGUAGAGAAUACCAAGGCGCUUGAGAGAACUCGGGUGAAGGAACUAGGCAAAAUGGUGCCGUAACUUCGGGAGAAGGCACGCUGACACGUAGGUGAAGUGAUUUACUCAUGGAGCUGAAGUCAGUCGAAGAUACCAGCUGGCUGCAACUGUUUAUUAAAAACACAGCACUGUGCAAACACGAAAGUGGACGUAUACGGUGUGACGCCUGCCCGGUGCCGGAAGGUUAAUUGAUGGGGUCAGCGUAAGCGAAGCUCCUGAUCGAAGCCCCGGUAAACGGCGGCCGUAACUAUAACGGUCCUAAGGUAGCGAAAUUCCUUGUCGGGUAAGUUCCGACCUGCACGAAUGGCGUAAUGAUGGCCAGGCUGUCUCCACCCGAGACUCAGUGAAAUUGAACUCGCUGUGAAGAUGCAGUGUACCCGCGGCAAGACGGAAAGACCCCGUGAACCUUUACUAUAGCUUGACACUGAACAUUGAGCCUUGAUGUGUAGGAUAGGUGGGAGGCUUUGAAGUGUGGACGCCAGUCUGCAUGGAGCCGACCUUGAAAUACCACCCUUUAAUGUUUGAUGUUCUAACGUGGACCCGUAAUCCGGGUUGCGGACAGUGUCUGGUGGGUAGUUUGACUGGGGCGGUCUCCUCCUAAAGAGUAACGGAGGAGCACGAAGGUUGGCUAAUCCUGGUCGGACAUCAGGAGGUUAGUGCAAUGGCAUAAGCCAGCUUGACUGCGAGCGUGACGGCGCGAGCAGGUGCGAAAGCAGGUCAUAGUGAUCCGGUGGUUCUGAAUGGAAGGGCCAUCGCUCAACGGAUAAAAGGUACUCCGGGGAUAACAGGCUGAUACCGCCCAAGAGUUCAUAUCGACGGCGGUGUUUGGCACCUCGAUGUCGGCUCAUCACAUCCUGGGGCUGAAGUAGGUCCCAAGGGUAUGGCUGUUCGCCAUUUAAAGUGGUACGCGAGCUGGGUUUAGAACGUCGUGAGACAGUUCGGUCCCUAUCUGCCGUGGGCGCUGGAGAACUGAGGGGGGCUGCUCCUAGUACGAGAGGACCGGAGUGGACGCAUCACUGGUGUUCGGGUUGUCAUGCCAAUGGCACUGCCCGGUAGCUAAAUGCGGAAGAGAUAAGUGCUGAAAGCAUCUAAGCACGAAACUUGCCCCGAGAUGAGUUCUCCCUGAGACUUAGAGUCUCCUGAAGGAACGUUGAAGACGACGACGUUGAUAGGCCGGGUGUGUAAGCGCAGCGAUGCGUUGAGCUAACCGGUACUAAUGAACCGUGAGGCUUAACCUUACAACGCCGAAG